rnacentral:rRNA from 1 species
AGUCACUGACAUUAGACUACCCGGGUACGUCCCAGCCGUAAACUAUGCGCGUUAGGUGUAUCGGUGACCACGAGUUACCGAGGUGCCGAAGGGAAACCGUGAAACGUGCCGCCUGGGAAGUACGGUCGCAAGGCUGAAACUUAAAGGAAUUGGCGGGGGAGCACCACAACAGGUGGAGCCUGCGGUUUAAUUGGACUCAACGCCGGGAAGCUCACCGGAUAGGACAGCAGAAUGAUUGCCGGGCUGAAGACCCUGCAUGACUAGCUG